GACGAACGCUGGCGGCGUGCUUAACACAUGCAAGUCGAACGGAAAGGCCCCUUUGGGGGUACUCGAGUGGCGAACGGGUGAGUAACACGUGAGUAACCUGCCCUUGACUUCGGGAUAACUUCAGGAAACUGGGGCUAAUACCGGAUAGGAAUCCUUGCUGCAUGGUGGGGGUUGGAAAGCUUCGGCGGUUUUGGAUGGACUCGCGGCUUAUCAGCUUGUUGGUGGGGUAGUGGCUUACCAAGGCUUUGACGGGUAGCCGGCCUGAGAGGGCGACCGGCCACAGUGGGACUGAGUUACGGCCCAGACUCCUACGGGAGGCAGCAGUGGGGAAUAUUGCACAAUGGGCGGACGCCUGAUGCAGCAACGCCGCGUGCGGGAUGACGGCCUUCGGGUUGUAAACCGCUUUCAGCAGGGGCGAAGCUUGUGGUGACGGUACCUGCAGAAGAAGCACCGGCUAACUACGUG
rnacentral:rRNA from 1 species